rnacentral:rRNA from 1 species
GACGAACGCUGGCGGCGUGCUUAACACAUGCAGGUCGAACGCUGAAGCUUGGUGCUUGCACUGGGUGGAUGAGUGGCGAACGGGUGAGUAAUACGUGAGUAACCUGCCCUUGACUCUGGGAUAAGCCUGGGAAACUGGGUCUAAUACUGGAUAUGACAUGCCACUGCAUGGUGGUGUGUGGAAAGGGUUUUACUGGUUUUGGAUGGGCUCACGGCCUAUCAGCUUGUUGGUGGGGUAAUGGCCUACCAGGGCGACGACGGGUAGCCGGCCUGAGAGGGUGACCGGCCACACUGGGACUGAGACACGGCCCAGACUCCUACGGGAGGCAGCAGUGGGGAAUAUUGCACAAUGGGCGGAAGCCUGAUGCAGCGACGCCGCGUGAGGGAUGACGGCCUUCGGGUUGUAAACCUCUUUCAGCACGGAAGAAGCGAGAGUGACGGUACGUGCAGAAGAAGCGCCGGCUAACUACGUG